CAAAAUGUACGGUUUCAGGUUUGAUGGAAGUGAUUACAUCACCAUAGCCUGCGAAGUUGGUGUUUUUCCAGAGAAUUCUAAACAGGAUAUUUGCCCGAAUAAAAGACGAAAAAGGGACACAGGACUAAAAAGAAGGGAUGUUGUAGAGACUGCAAUUCAGAGGAAGAACAUCAUUGGCAAACUACGAGUUAUUGAUCGUCCUUCUGAAUAUGGAAAUACGGCCAAUAAAACUGGAGGUUCAUUUGAAUGGAUCAAGCUUUCCCUUGGAGUUCUGAUUUUGUCGUC